rnacentral:rRNA from 1 species
UACGGGGGGAGCAAGCGUUGUCCGGAAUUAUUGGGCGUAAAGGGCUCGUAGGCGGUCUGUUGCGUCGGGAGUGAAAACUUACAGCUUAGCUGUGAGCGUGCUUUCGAUACGGGCAGACUUGAGGCAUUCAGGGGAGAACGGAAUUCCUGGUGUAGCGGUGAAAUGCGCAGAUAGUCAGGAGGAACACCGGUGGCGAAGGUGGUUCUCUGG